rnacentral:RNase_P_RNA from 1 species
UAUCUAAGCUGGAUGAUUGCUAUAUACAUUGUUUUUGCAAUGUAGAUAGAGGAAAGUCCGAACACCCUCCUCACACCCAUGUUUUGAAUUUAUCCAGUUGAUUUAUAAUUUCAAAGCAUUGGUGUGGGGAGAAGUGGAUAGCUCGUAACUCGAGCCGGGAUGCAUGGGUAUUGAAGAGUUCUAUAGACUUUUUAAUGUUCCAGAUUCCUAGGGAAAGUGUCACAGAGACUAAACCGCCCUACUUAUGUAGGGUAAGGGUGAAAAGUAAGGGCCUAAGAAUCCUUUUCCUUCUUUGGUAACAAAGUCGGAUGAAAAACCCUAUCCGGUGCAAGAUUAAAUAGGUCCUAUAAAGGACGGGUUGAUCGCUUGACCCCGCCAUCGGCGGGGCUAGAUAGAUAAUCAUCGCUUUUGUGAAAGCAAAAGUACAAAAUUCGGCUUAUAGGCUUAGAUAGAAG